GGUAUGCUCUUGUUUUUCAAACAAACAUUUGGUCGUCGUCGUCGAUCGUGCGUGGGUGCCAAGGAGAACGCUAACUUCACACAGACAAACUUUUUACGUUUAAACUACAUAAUGAAGCAGUUGUAUGUGAUGUUCAGCCAUUCUAUGAACAGUAGUGCGUUAGUUUUGUUCUCGAUAAACUUUUUUUGGCGGCUAGCUAGUUAACCUGCUAGCGUGUGUUUAGUGCUGCGGUCCAGCGUUUUUAGCUCAGGCUGAACUACAGCGUCUAUUCACGUGCGACCACGGUUAUGCUCUGUACGGACAUCUGGCUAACGGCUGUUUAUCCUGACCCAGAAACCCAUCCCACUGGGCAGAGCCACGGACGGUCCACCACAACGGAGAAGGAGACCUUCUGUUUUUCCGUCGCUAAAGAUCCAGUGGCCAAUGUGUGGUACUCAGUACCUACAACGGACACCAAGAGCUGUGCGGUGCGUCGACUGUGACUGUAUCCUCUUAUGUUAUUUAGCUCUGUAUUCUGCUGUGUCUUCACCAGGGAUGCUAUAAGUUGAUAUCACUAAGAAUUAGCGAUAUGAAGGCCCCAACAUUUUCUGAGUAGCAUCAGAAAAUAU